GUCCUGCACUGUUUUGCCACCACAGUCCAGUCUAGACACCAAACACACUAUUCCCUACACACACACACGUCUCCACAAAGACAAGCCGCAUCCAAAAGUUAAAGGGCGCUUCUUAACUAAAAUGGCCACUGCAGCAGCCAAAACACAAAUAGCUUCUUCUUUUUUUUAAUUUGGUGGAAGUUGAGCAGCAACAGCGGCGGCGGCGGCGGCAGUGUGGCUGCUGCAGCCACCCUAACCUUACAAUUUGGACCCAGUAGCAGCUCAGCAUUUCAGAUUUUUCCAUUGGCUGCAGCCUAGCGCAGCUGGCUCCAUGCAUAUUUCCAUUGGUCCUGCAGCUGUCAAGCAAGCUGCAAACCCGAGCGAGUCUCUCCCGGGUUUGUCUGAGAGCUAUCGCGGCAGCCCCGGGCAACACCAUUGUGUAUUACUUGCCGGGAAAUCCUUCUCCUACCGGUGGAAGCUUUCCCACCGCACCGCACCGCACCGCCCGGCUGGCUGGCUCCUGCUGUCAUUGAAGGAAGGAAG